UACGGGGGGGGCAAGCGUUGUUCGGAAUUACUGGGCGUAAAGGGUUCGUAGGUGGCCAACUAAGUCAGACGUGAAAUCCCUCAGCUUAACUGGGGAAUUGCGUCUGAGACUGGAUGGCUUGAGUGCAGGAGAGGAACGCGGAAUUCCAGGUGUAGCGGUGAAAUGCGUAGAUAUCUGGAGGAACACCGGUGGCGAAGGCGGCGUUCUGGACUGCUACUGACACUGAGGAACGAAAGCCAGGGGAGCAAACGGG
rnacentral:rRNA from 1 species